GUAUUAGAGUAAGUAUAGUCGUACCACGUUCUCCGUAGGUGACCUGCGGAAGGAUCAUUA
rnacentral:rRNA from 1 species